CCUACGGGAGGCAGCAGUAGGGAAUCUUCCACAAUGGGCGAAAGCCUGAUGGAGCAACGCCGCGUGGGUGAAGAAGGUCUUCGGAUCGUAAAACCCUGUUGUUAGAGACGAAAGUGCGUGAGAGUAACUGUUCACGUUUCGACGGUAUCUAACCAGAAAGCCACGGCUAACUACGUGCCAGCAGCCGCGGUAAUACGUAGGUGGCAAGCGUUAUCCGGAUUUAUUGGGCGUAAAGGGAGCGCAGGCGGUUCUUUAAGUCUGAUGUGAAAGCCUUCGGCUUAACCGGGGUAGUGCAUUGGAAACUGGGAGACUUGAGUGCAGAAGAGGAGAGUGGAACUCCAUGUGUAGCGGUGAAAUGCGUAGAUAUAUGGAAGAACACCAGUGGCGAAAGCGGCUCUCUGGACUGUAACUGACGCUGAGGUUCGAAAGCGUGGGUAGCAAACAGGAUUAGAUACCCGUGUAGUC
rnacentral:rRNA from 1 species